GAUUCGCCCCUCUGAUUACUGCCUGCUACUGAUAAUUCAGGCUGGCAGUGAGGAAGUUGCUGAGAAAAGCCUGAGGUCUAUCACGAAAUACUUGGUCCAGGUACUGGACAGACCAACCAGAGGUGAAGCGUUGCUGGACCUGCUACUCACCAGUACAGAGGAGAUCAUCAAAGGUGUCAAAGUUGGAGGCUGCCUGGGCUGCAGCAAUCAUGCCCUGGUUGAGUUUGUGAUCUCGAGGGCUGUGGGCCUGGCAAAGAGUGGGGCAUGGCAAAGAGUGGGAUCAGGACCCUGAACUUCAGAAGAGCGAACUUCAAGCUACUCAAUGGAUUGUUGGCCAAGAUCCCCUGGGGUGCUGUCCUUAAAGACAAGGAUGUUGAGGAGAGCUGGCUACUCUUCAAGGAUGCCCUCCUGAAAGCACAAGAGGUCUCUAUCCCUCUGAAUAAGAAAGUGGGCAGACGAGGUAGGAAACCAUGGUACGAGCCAUGGCUCAGCAAGGACCUGCUGAGUGAACUGAGGGCCAAGAAAGGGGUGUACAAGCUCUGGAAACAAGGCUGUGUAACCUGGGAAGAAUACAGGGAUGCCAUCUGGACUCGCAGACAUGGGAUCAGGAAAGCCAAGGUGCAGGAAGAACUGAACCUGGCAAGGGAUGUGAAAAACUAUAAGAAGACAUUCUACAGGUACAUUGGCCAGAAGAGACAGGCCAAAAUGGGUGUACCUUCUUUGGUAAAUUUAAAAGGACUGUCUUCAACAAAUGAAGAGAAAACUGAGGUGCUGAAUGAGUUCUUCACCUCAGUCUUCACUGGUGGCCAGGAUUCUAGUCUUUCUCACAUCCCUAAGCCCUGCAUCCCCAAACCUCUAUGUGGGGACCAAGGAGGUAAAUCCCUCCCCACUGUAAGUGCAGAGCAAAUCCAAGAGUGCCUCAUGAGACUAAAUAAGCACAAGUCUACGGGGCCAGAUGGUGUGCAUCCCAGGGUCCUAAAGGAGCUGGCUGAGGUGGUGGCCAAGCCGCUCUCCACCAUAUUUGAGAAGUCGUGGCUGUCAGGUGAGGUCCCGGAUGAUUGGUGGAAGGGUCACGUCACUCCCAUAUACAAGAAGGGGAGCAGGGAGGACCCGGGGAAAUACAGGCUGGUGAAUCUCACCUCCGUGCCUGGGAAGAUUAUGGAACAGAUCCUCCUGGACAACAGGCUCGAUCACAUAAAGAACGAGCACGUAAUCCUAGACAGCCAGCACGGCUUCACCAGGGGAAG
rnacentral:lncRNA from 1 species